CCUACGGGUGGCAGCAGUGGGGAAUAUUGCACAAUGGGCGAACGCCUGAUGCAGCAACGCCGCGUGUGCGAUGAAGGCCUUCGGGUCGUAAAGCUCUGUCCUCAGGGAAGAUAAUGACAGUACUUGUGACGGAAGCCCCGGCUAACUACGUGCCAGCACCCGCGGCAAUACGUAGGGGGCUAGCGUUCUCCGGAAUUACUGGGCGAAAGGGGAGUGUAGGUGGUUUCUUUAGUCAGAGGGAAAAGGCUACGGCUCAACCGUAGUAGGCCUUUGAAACUGGGGAGCUAGAGUUCAGGAGAGGGGAGUAGAAUUCCAAGUGGAGCGGUGAAAGGCGUAGAGAGGAGGAGGAACACCGGUGGCGAAGGCGGCACACUGGACUAAGACUGACGCUGAGGCACGAAAGCGUGGGGAGCAAACAGGAUUAGAUACCCGGGUAGUC
rnacentral:rRNA from 1 species